GAUGAACGCUGGCGGCGUGCUUAACACAUGCAAGUCGAGCGAAGCACCUUGACUUCUUCGGAAUGAUUGGUGACUGAGCGGCGGACGGGUGAGUAACGCGUGGGUAACCUGCCUCACACAGGGGGAUAACAGUUAGAAAUGACUGCUAAUACCGCAUAAGACCACAGCACCGCAUGGUGCAGGGGUAAAAACUCCGGUGGUGUGAGAUGGACCCGCGUCUGAUUAGCUAGUUGGUGAGGUAACGGCUCACCAAGGCGACGAUCAGUAGCCGACCUGAGAGGGUGACCGGCCACAUUGGGACUGAGACACGGCCCAAACUCCUACGGGAGGCAGCAGUGGGGAAUAUUGCACAAUGGGCGAAAGCCUGAUGCAGCGACGCCGCGUGAAGGAUGAAGUAUUUCGGUAUGUAAACUUCUAUCAGCAGGGAAGAAAAUGACGGUACCUGACUAAGAAGCCCCGGCUAACUACGUGCCAGCCGCCGCAGUAACAC
rnacentral:rRNA from 1 species